UGAAAACUAUUGAAGAUCACAUUACCAUAUUUUUGCACCCUUGUACUUGCUGCAUGGUUCCACAAAUAGCUUUGGUAACUAUGUACAUACCUAAAAAUACAGAAGCAAUGGAAUUAUAAGAUGAAGAAGAUCAAUAUUAUCCUUCAAAUAUUCCAUCUCAAAUAACAUCUCUAUUUGUUUUUAUAGCACACUUGCCUUUGCACAUCACAAUAAAAGAUCACCAGAUAGACAACCUAUAUAGCCCACUA
rnacentral:lncRNA from 1 species